GGGCCCGCACAAGCGGUGGAGCAUGUGGUUUAAUUCGAUGAUACGCGAGGAACCUUACCAGGGUUUAAAUGCAGAACGACAGGGGUGGAAACACCCCCUUCUUCGGACGGACUGCAAGGUGCUGCAUGGUUGUCGUCAGCUCGUGCUGUGAAGUGUCGGGUUAAGUCCCAUAACGAGCGCAACCCCCAUUUCUAGUUGCCAGCGGUUCGGCCGGGGACUCUAGAGAAACUGCCAGCGUAAGCUGUGAGGAAGGUGGGGGAUGGACGUCAAAUCAUCACGGCCCUUGACAUCCUGGGCCACACACGUGCUACAAUGUGGGGACAAAGAGCAGCUAACUCGCGAGAGU
rnacentral:rRNA from 1 species